rnacentral:rRNA from 1 species
GCUCAGCCCGCCAGCUAAGGUCCCAAAGUUGUGGUUAAGUGGUAAACGAUGUGGGAAGGCUUAGACAGCUAGGAGGUUGGCUUAGAAGCAGCCAUCCUUUAAAGAAAGCGUAAUAGCUCACUAGUCGAGUCGGCCUGCGCGGAAGAUGUAACGGGGCUCAAACCACACACCGAAGCUGCGGGUGUCACGUAAGUGACGCGGUAGAGGAGCGUUCUGUAAGCCUGUGAAGGUGAGUUGAGAAGCUUGCUGGAGGUAUCAGAAGUGCGAAUGCUGACAUGAGUAACGACAAUGGGUGUGAAAAACACCCACGCCGAAAGACCAAGGGUUCCUGCGCAACGUUAAUCGACGCAGGGUUAGUCGGUUCCUAAGGCGAGGCUGAAAAGCGUAGUCGAUGGGAAACAGGUUAAUAUUCCUGUACUUCUGGUUACUGCGAUGGAGGGACGGAGAAGGCUAGGCCAGCUUGGCGUUGGUUGUCCAAGUUUAAGGUGGUAGGCUGAAAUCUUAGGUAAAUCCGGGGUUUCAAGGCCGAGAGCUGAUGACGAGUCGUCUUUUAGAUGACGAAGUGGUUGAUGCCAUGCUUCCAAGAAAAGCUUCUAAGCUUCAGGUAACCAGGAACCGUACCCCAAACCGACACAGGUGGUCGGGUAGAGAAUACCAAGGCGCUUGAGAGAACUCGGGUGAAGGAACUAGGCAAAAUGGCACCGUAACUUCGGGAGAAGGUGCGCCGGCUAGGGUGAAGGAUUUACUCCGUAAGCUCUGGCUGGUCGAAGAUACCAGGCCGCUGCGACUGUUUAUUAAAAACACAGCACUCUGCAAACACGAAAGUGGACGUAUAGGGUGUGACGCCUGCCCGGUGCCGGAAGGUUAAUUGAUGGGGUUAGCGCAAGCGAAGCUCUUGAUCGAAGCCCCGGUAAACGGCGGCCGUAACUAUAACGGUCCUAAGGUAGCGAAAUUCCUUGUCGGGUAAGUUCCGACCUGCACGAAUGGCGUAACGAUGGCGGCGCUGUCUCCACCCGAGACUCAGUGAAAUUGAAAUCGCUGUGAAGAUGCAGUGUAUCCGCGGCUAGACGGAAAGACCCCGUGAACCUUUACUGUAGCUUUGCACUGGACUUUGAGCCUGCUUGUGUAGGAUAGGUGGGAGGCUUUGAAGCGUGGACGCCAGUUCGCGUGGAGCCAUCCUUGAAAUACCACCCUGGCAUGCUUGAGGUUCUAACUCUGGUCCGUGAUCCGGAUCGAGGACAGUGUAUGGUGGGCAGUUUGACUGGGGCGGUCUCCUCCUAAAGAGUAACGGAGGAGUACGAAGGUGCGCUCAGACCGGUCGGAAAUCGGUCGCAGAGUAUAAAGGCAAAAGCGCGCUUGACUGCGAGACAGACACGUCGAGCAGGUACGAAAGUAGGUCUUAGUGAUCCGGUGGUUCUGUAUGGAAGGGCCAUCGCUCAACGGAUAAAAGGUACUCCGGGGAUAACAGGCUGAUACCGCCCAAGAGUUCAUAUCGACGGCGGUGUUUGGCACCUCGAUGUCGGCUCAUCACAUCCUGGGGCUGAAGCCGGUCCCAAGGGUAUGGCUGUUCGCCAUUUAAAGUGGUACGCGAGCUGGGUUUAGAACGUCGUGAGACAGUUCGGUCCCUAUCUGCCGUGGACGUUUGAGAUUUGAGAGGGGCUGCUCCUAGUACGAGAGGACCGGAGUGGACGAACCUCUGGUGUUCCGGUUGUCACGCCAGUGGCAUUGCCGGGUAGCUAUGUUCGGAAAAGAUAACCGCUGAAAGCAUCUAAGCGGGAAACUUGCCUCAAGAUGAGAUCUCACUGGGAACUUGAUUCCCCUGAAGGGCCGUCGAAGACUACGACGUUGAUAGGCUGGGUGUGUAAGCGUUGUGAGGCGUUGAGCUAACCAGUACUAAUUGCCCGUGAGGCUUGACC